GUUCGUACUGAAACAAGGACAACUGUUCUCACUCAUAAUAAAUAAUAAUAAUAACAUCCCCAUAAAAGUUUAUUUUGUUUUUUAGUUUGAGCCUCCUAAACGUGUAACUGGAAUCUUAAAAAGGAAAAGAAAUCCCAUUAUUCCAUUUGACAAAGUCCUUCGUGUUUUCUUUGAUAGUAUUCGAAAUUAAAUUAUAAUUCUUUAGAAUAAAUGUAAACGAUGACAUUUAAAACAUGACACAAAUUCAGUGGGAAUGAAAGCGUAGUCUUAAUAAAACGUGAACUAGUACAGAAAGUACUAUUUGUAACCACAAAUAUCAGUGCGAUUAUUUGAAAUGCUUCAAAUAUACCUUUCAAAAACUGCCUAAUAGAUAACAUUUUUGUACCUGAAGUGUAAGGUUACGAACGACACGACACGACACAAUAACAAAUUUAAUUACUCUAUCAUGUAAAAAAUGUUUCUUUGAAGUUUAGAAUUAAUAAAAAUUUGUAAAAUAGAAGAGAAAAUGCUUUACAAUUCACCAUUUAGAAUUACGUCAACACAGGAUAUUACAGAAGAAAGAAGUAAAGGCGAGCUUAUCGCUUAUGAGCGAUUUCUCCUUAAUUACCUUUUAGGGUAAAGGACAAAUCGAAGAUGAAAAUGACUUGAGGAGUAUUGAAGUAAGAAUACUACGAAUGCUUAGCAACAUUUGACGAUAUAAAAGAUAACUUAGAAUGGAAGAAGAUAGUUCAGCACAGAAGUUGAAUGUAACAAUAUUAUUUUACCUUAAUUAUGAAAGAUGCCAGGAAAGAAGCACAAUAAGGGCAAAGAGUUCCAAAGUUGGGCGACAUUCACUGCGAAGGAAUGUUCGGAAUAGGUAGAGAAAUAGGCAACAUUUUUUAAGAGCGUAAAGAUCGUUUGUUUAUUUUUAGAACAUAAAAACCUUAGUUUCAGACGAAAAAGAAUAUCAGGAACGGACAGGAAUGAAUAAAGGCUAUUGAACAUAUGUGUAUUCCUUUUAUAACGAAUUGGGUGCCACUUAUGUAUAUGAAAAUUUGUCUAAAAAUACGAUCAUUUCUUUUACACACAACCACACAAUUUAUCGAACUAAGCAAAUUCUAUUAUUGCUAUUUAAUGAAUAGAGCAGCUAUUUUUCCUGUGAAAUUGACUUUUACUUUACAAAUGUACCAUAUCCUUCUGUAUAUUGCAAUGUCCUGACAUUACAUUUGGGCUACUUGCACAGGGUAAUAACAAUUCGUACAAAUUAUUAUUAUUAGCUCUGUGGCUUGUAUUGCUUCGUUCUAGACCCAGUCUAUAUAAUAGAUAUAAUAUAAAGCAAUAAACGAAUGUUGAAGUUAAA